rnacentral:lncRNA from 1 species
GGUCGGUGAAGUCCAUUUCGCGUUUUCGCGAUUUCGCCUUUCAUAUUCUAUAGGGCGAAAACGCGAAAUCGCGAAAAGGCGAAACCGCGAAGUCGAAAACGAGAAAUCGGUUUCGCAGUUUCGCGUUUUCGACUUCGCAAUUUCGCGUUUUCGCCAUAUAGAAUAUGUAAGGCGAAAACGCUUUAGCGCUAAAACGCAAAAUGGCAUUAACCUGC